UUCCAACUCCUGGAAUCCCAAGUGUGGAGU
rnacentral:piRNA from 1 species